CCAUGACCCGGAGUGUGCUGGCACGCGCAGGGUCAUGGAUAUUGAACGGGCAAGCCAGUAUGAGUAAGGAGGGCGAUAGCCCGGAUUACUCAUACUGGCAGCGAUUGCAGGAGCGCGAAGUGCGGAGCAAUCG
rnacentral:sRNA from 1 species